UAUAUUUGACCAUGGGGGCAAACCUUAUCCAGCCAUGCCGCGGGUGUGAAGCAGGUCUAAGGCAANUAAAGCUCUUUAAGUUGGGGNGAAGGGCUUUAGGCUAUUACCCUGAAGUUUUGACGUUACCAACAGAAUAAGCACCGGCUAACUCUGUGCCAUCAGCCGCGGUAAUACAGAGGGUGCAAGCGUUAAUCGGAAUUACUUGGCGUAAAGCGCGCGUAGGUGGUUCAGUAAGAUGGGUGUGAAAUCCCCGGGCUUAACCUGGGAACUGCUUUCAUAACUGCUGAGCUAGAGUACGGUAGAGGGUAGUGGAAUUUCCUGUGUAGCGGUGAAAUGCGUAGAUAUAGGAAGGAACACCAGUGGCGAAGGCGACUACCUGGACUGAUACUGACACUGAGGUGCGAAAGCGUGGGGAGCAAACA
rnacentral:rRNA from 1 species